UUUAUUCCUAACACGGGAUCCCCUAAAUGGCAUUCCCUUUCUAGGGUUUAUGCAUGAUGCCAUUUAUUAAAGCGAUGUAAAUAUGUGACAAAUAUGGUGUAAAGGACAUAAAUAAUGCAUCGGGGGAAAAAGGUCUAAAAUGAAAUGUACUUAUUGAAAAUUAAGCAUAAUGACUGGAAUUUAAACAUGUAAGUUAUCUAGUAGGUAAGUCACUAAAAGAGUGCCAAAGAGACCUCUUAUUGGUAAGGCAUAUGAAUGCAAGCCAGGAAAAUAAAAGAAUGGUUAGUGCAAUUGAUAGUACACAUAACACAUUGGGAGCAAUUAAGAAAAGAAAAUACAAUAAAGCAAGUAAAAGGGGUGGAACCCCUUCCCUCGUGCCUAAUGUGCUUAAAAUAGGGUGAGGCCGACUCUACCUUAGGUCAUUCUAAUAUGGAUGCAUGAGGCUGGGGUUCACUAAUGCCUAGACUCGAUAAAGUUUCGGCUCCCAAGCCUUCAGACCUAAAGGCGAAGGGUCAUCACUCCCAGGGCCUUCGAUCGGUGGCUCGAGUGAUCCCUUAGGUAGCGCUAUGGGCGCAGAGCACACCAGCCGCCUAUCCAAGGCAAUCGAUCCUAAUCCUACAAGGCGGUGUGGGAAACGCCCACGAAAAAACAAAUAAAAUGGGAUAAAGCAAAUAAAUAUGCACGUAUGAAGUGUUCCCCUAAUUUGAGGGA
rnacentral:lncRNA from 1 species